GAUGAACGCUGGCGGCGUGCCUAAUACAUGCAAGUCGAGCGAACGGACGAGAAGCUUGCUUCUCUGAUGUUAGCGGCGGACGGGUGAGUAACACGUGGAUAACCUACCUAUAAGACUGGGAUAACUUCGGGAAACCGGAGCUAAUACCGGAUAAUAUUUUGAACCGCAUGGUUCAAAAGUGAAAGACGGUCUUGCUGUCACUUAUAGAUGGAUCCGCGCUGCAUUAGCUAGUUGGUAAGGUAACGGCUUACCAAGGCAACGAUGCAUAGCCGACCUGAGAGGGUGAUCUGCCACACUGGAACUGGGACACGGUCCAGACUCCUACGGGAGGCAGCAGUAGGGAAUCUUCCGCAAUGAGCGAAAGCCUGACGGAGCAACGCCGCGUGAGUGAUGAAGGUCUUCGGAUCGUAAAACACUGUUAGUAGGGAAGAACAAAUGUGUGAGUAACUGUGCACAUCUUGACGGUACCUAAUCAGAAAGCCACGGCUAACUACGUG
rnacentral:rRNA from 1 species